AGUGAACGCUGGCGGUAGGCCUAACACAUGCAAGUCGAACGGCAGCACAGUAAGAGCUUGCUCUUACUGGUGGCGAGUGGCGGACGGGUGAGGAAUACAUCGGAAUCUACUUUUUCGUGGGGGAUAACGUAGGGAAACUUACGCUAAUACCGCAUACGACCUACGGGUGAAAGCAGGGGAUCUUCGGACCUUGCGCGAUUGAAUGAGCCGAUGUCGGAUUAGCUAGUUGGCGGGGUAAAGGCCCACCAAGGCGACGAUCCGUAGCUGGUCUGAGAGGAUGAUCAGCCACAAUGGAACUGAGACACGGUCCAGACUCCUACGGGAGGCAGCAGUGGGGAAUAUUGGACAAUGGGCGCAAGCCUGAUCCAGCCAUACCGCGUGGGUGAAGAAGGCCUUCGGGUUGUAAAGCCCUUUUGUUGGGAAAGAAAAGCAGCAGGUUAAUACCCCGCUGUUCUGACGGAACCCAAAGAAUAAGCACCGGCUAACUUCGUG
rnacentral:rRNA from 1 species